AUUGAACGCUGGCGGCAGGCCUAACACAUGCAAGUCGAACGGUAACAGGAAACAGCUUGCUGUUUCGCUGACGAGUGGCGGACGGGUGAGUAAUGUCUGGGAAACUGCCUGAUGGAGGGGGAUAACUACUGGAAACGGUAGCUAAUACCGCAUAACGUCGCAAGCCCAAAGAGGGGGACCCUCGGGCCUCUUGCCAUCGGAUGUGCCCAGAUGGGAUUCGCUUGUUGGUGGGGUAACGGCUCACCAAGGCGACGAUCCCUAGCUGGUCUGAGAGGAUGACCAGCCACAGUGGAACUGAGACACGGUCCAGACGCCUACGGGAGGCAGCAGUGGGGAAUAUUGCACAAUGGGCGCAAGCCUGAUGCAGCCAUGCCGCGUGUAUGAAGAAGGCCUUCGGGUUGUAAAGUACUUUCAGCGGGGAGGAAGGGAGUAAAGUUAAGACCUUUGCUCAUUGACGUUACCCGCAGAAGAAGCACCGGCUAACUCCGG
rnacentral:rRNA from 1 species